rfam:Salmo salar isolate Sally breed double haploid chromosome ssa15, whole genome shotgun sequence.
UCGUUUAAAAUGUGUAAGUCACUCUGGAUAAGAGCGUCUGCUAAAUGACAUAAA